rnacentral:rRNA from 1 species
AGAGUUUGAUCCUGGCUCAGGAUGAACGCUAGCGGCAGGCUUAACACAUGCAAGUCGGGCGGCAGCGGGGUGGGAGCUUGCUCCCACUGCCGGCGAGCGGCGCACGGGUGAGUAACACGUAUGCAACCUGCCCCUGUCAGGGGGACAACCCGCCGAAAGGCGGGCUAAGCCCGCGUAUAUCGCCCCGGGGCAUCCCGGGGGGAGGAAAGGAGCGAUCCGGACAGGGAUGGGCAUGCGGCGCAUUAGCUGGUCGGCGGGGUAACGGCUCACCGAGGCGACGAUGCGUAGGGGUUCUGAGAGGAAGGCCCCCCACACUGGUACUGAGACACGGACCAGACUCCUACGGGAGGCAGCAGUGAGGAAUAUUGGUCAAUGGGCGGGAGCCUGAACCAGCCAAGCCGCGUGAGGGAAGAAGGUACAGCGUAUCGUAAACCUCUUUUGUCAAGGAACAAAGGCGGGGACUAGUCCCCGGAUGAGGGUACC